rnacentral:rRNA from 1 species
AUUGAACGCUGGCGGCAGGCCUAACACAUGCAAGUCGAGCGGAUGACGGGAGCUUGCUCCUUGAUUCAGCGGCGGACGGGUGAGUAAUGCCUAGGAAUCUGCCUGGUAGUGGGGGACAACGUUUCGAAAGGAACGCUAAUACCGCAUACGUCCUACGGGAGAAAGCAGGGGACCUUCGGGCCUUGCGCUAUCAGAUGAGCCUAGGUCGGAUUAGCUUGUUGGUGAGGUAAUGGCUCACCAAGGCGACGAUCCGUAACUGGUCUGAGAGGAGGAUCAGUCACACUGGAACUGAGACACGGUCCAGACUCCUACGGGAGGCAGCAGUGGGGAAUAUUGGACAAUGGGCGAAAGCCUGAUCCAGCCAUGCCGCGUGUGUGAAGAAGGUCUUCGGAUUGUAAAGCACUUUAAGUUGGGAGGAAGGGUUGUAGAUUAAUACUCUGCAAUUUUGACGCUACCGACAGAAUAAGCACCGGCUAACUCUGUGCCAGCCGCCGCAGUAAAAC